UACGUAGGGUGCAAGCGUUGUCCGGAUUUAUUGGGCGUAAAGAGCUCGUAGGCGGUCUGUCGCGUCGGAUGUGAAAACCCAGGGCUCAACCCUGGGCCUGCAUUCGAUACGGGCAGACUAGAGUGUGGCAGGGGAGACUGGAAUUCCUGGUGUAGCGGUGAAAUGCGCAGAUAUCAGGAGGAACACCGGUGGCGAAGGCGGGUCUCUGGGCCGUAACUGACGCUGAGGAGCGAAAGCGUGGGGAGCGAACAGG
rnacentral:rRNA from 1 species